CAUCCAUGCUGUUUGGGAAGCUUGAUGUGGAAUGGUAAGGAAGAAGAUCAAUCUUUGGAGCUUAGUUUGGAGGCUUUAGACGUUGCUGCCAUAAAAUAAGCAACAUAUGUUUUGUCCAAUUUGAUUGUUGCAGAUAAUUAUUUGUCACUAUUCAAUCUACUUUUGUUGAACAAGUGUACUCUAUUUUUACAUUAAUACAUAAAAGGCUGUUUGGGGUGUUCAUCUGCAAGUUUAAAUGUGGGUUGGUAGAUGAGUUACUGAUUUGGUGUUAAUUUUUAUCCCUAGUAGUUUGGUGCAGUAUGUUGUGAUUGACUUAUCAUGAUGAAUGUUACUGUAAUACUUGGGAUUUGACCAAGUAAAAAAGAAAUUCCGGGGCUUGUGAAAAAAAAAUAAAAAAAAAAUAAAAGAGAAGAGAAGGUUGAAAAGUCAACUAAACAAGGGAAGUGGACGUCGGCUUAAGGGGAUAAAAAAGAAAUGCUCGGCUCCCUCUUAAAUUGAGAGCUCAUGUAGAAAGAAAAUGGAGAGGAGAGAGAAAAAGAUCU
rnacentral:lncRNA from 1 species